UCGUUGAGAUAACGAUUUGUCGUCGUUUUCUUAACUUUUUUUUUUUCUUUUCAAACUUAAUUUCUUCCUUUCGUUUGGGUGGAGAGGAAAGGCGGGAAGGGGACAGAGACACAAACGAAGAGCGUAGACUUAAACUAGAGUAAAAAUGGGUUUCCUUGACAAGUUUUUU
rnacentral:ribozyme from 1 species